GAUGAACGCUGGCGGCGUGCCUAAUACAUGCAAGUCGAGCGAACGGACGAGAAGCUUGCUUCUCUGAUGUUAGCGGCGGACGGGUGAGUAACACGUGGAUAACCUACCUAUAAGACUGGGAUAACUUCGGGAAACCGGAGCUAAUACCGGAUAAUAUUUUGAACCGCAUGGUUCAAAAGUGAAAGACGGUCUUGCUGUCACUUAUAGAUGGAUCCGCGCUGCAUUAGCUAGUUGGUAAGGUAACGGCUUACCAAGGCAACGAUGCAUAGCCGACCUGAGAGGGUGAUCAGCCACACUGGAACUGAGACACGGUCCAGACUCCUACGGGAGGCAGCAGUAGGGAAUCUUCCGCAAUGGGCGAAAGCCUGACGGAGCAACGCCGCGUGAGUGAUGAAGGUCUUCGGAUCGUAAAACUCUGUUAUUAGGGAAGAACAGAUGUGUAAGUAACUGUGCACAUCUUGACGGUACCUAAUCAGAAAGCCACGGCUAACUACGUG
rnacentral:rRNA from 1 species